GAUGAACGCUGGCGGCGUGCCUAAUACAUGCAAGUCGAGCGAACGGACGAGAAGCUUGCUUCUCUGAUGUUAGCGGCGGACGGGUGAGUAACACGUGGAUAACCUACCUAUAAGACUGGGAUAACUUCGGGAAACCGGAGCUAAUACCGGAUAAUAUUUUGAACCGCAUGGUUCAAAAGUGAAAGACGGUCUUGCUGUCACUUAUAGAUGGAUCCGCGCUGCAUUAGCUAGUUGGUAAGGUAACGGCUUACCAAGGCAACGAUGCAUAGCCGACCUGAGAGGGUGAUCGGCCACACUGGAACUGAGACACGGUCCAGACUCCUACGGGAGGCAGCAGUAGGGAAUAUUCCGCAAUGGGCGAAAGCCUGACGGAGCAACGCCGCGUGAGUGAUGAAGGUCUUCGGAUCGUAAAACUCUGUUAUUAGGGAAGAACAUAUGUGUAAGUAACUGUGCACAUCUUGACGUUACCUAAUCAGAAAGCCACGGCUAACUCCGUG
rnacentral:rRNA from 1 species